rnacentral:rRNA from 1 species
GACGAACGCUGGCGGCGUGCUUAACACAUGCAAGUCGAACGGAAAAGCGCUGCUUUUGUUGGGUGGUGGGGUGGCGAACGGGUGGGGAGCACGAGAGGUACGUACCCUGGACUUUUGGAUAACUUCACGACACUGGGGCUAGUACCGUAUGGGAGCUCCUGCGUCAGUGGGGUGGUGGGAAAGUGUCGGCUGUUGCGUCGGUUGUCGCUGCAUGUCGGGUUUUUCAGCUUGUUGGUGGGGUACUGGGCUACGACGGCUGUGACGGGUAGGCGGCCUGAGAGGGUGAGCGGCAACAUUGGGACUGAGAUACGGCCCAGACGCCUACGGGAGGCAGCAGUGGGGAAUAUCGUGCAAUGGCGGGGAGCCUGAUGCAGCGAAGCCGCGCGCGGGAUGACGGCCUUUGGGUUGUGAACCGCUUUCGCCUGUGAUGAAGCGUGAUUGACGGUAAUUGGUAAAGAAGCACCGGCUAACUACGUG